ensembl:lncRNA
GUAAUCCACUUAGUAUUUAAUAUUAAUCAAUGAUAUACUGAUAAACGGCACAGCAGUCAAAGCACUCGGGAGAGGCACACAGCAGUGGGUAAACAGAAAGGAUCAGCAGCAGGAUAUCACGGCUGCUGUGGAAGCUGCAGCCUUUCCCAGACCCAGGGCUGACCAGUGACAGACACGCGAAAGGUGACAUACGGAUCCUCAGACACUAAGCAUGACUCAGCACAGCCACAUCAUGGAAUUUUCCCGAGGCCUCAGGCGGGGACGGAUGUCGGUCAGGAGAGGAGCUGCCACAUGUGGAGUCUGGCCCCAUUCCACAUACAGCUGGUGGAAACGUACGCGAGCGGCCUUGGCAUCCCAGCCCCCCUCCUGCUUCUCUGGCCUGCAGGCAGAUCAGGAAAAAGAGAGGCUUCAUCCACCUCCCUCCAGGGUCACCAAGGAGACAGAAGGAGGACAGGGGAGGGCAGGGACCUUCAAUGGCAGAGUCUUAGUGACCGUAACUAAGCAAAGCUCCAGGGACUGAGUGGGACUUCAGGACUGAGGAACCAAACAUGCUUUAACUAAUUAGACGACCUCGGAGAAGGGGGCCCUUCCUGGCAACUAAAUUUCCCUUCCUAGUGAUGGAUUUGGGGAAGACAUGCAAUAAAAGAUGACGCUCUGAGGAAAAGGGGGAGGAUCAGAAUCUUGGAUGCUGCUAAUUGGCCUUCCCUGGGCCCCCAUUUCUCAGCUCCACAAGAGAGUUGCUUUGGGGAGCCUCCCGCCAGUGGCCCCCUCUCCUCCUCACAGGGAUGCCAGGAAAAGGAGCAAUGCUCAGCUCUAUCAGCCCGGACAGGAGGUGGAAACUUUGCGGAGGGUGGGGUCUGUCAAAGGUCCGGAGCUGUCUCCACCGUCCCCACCUGCCGUACACUCGGCCCGCCUUUCCCAGCAGACUCACUCCCAGAGUGGAAGACGGCCACUGCUGGCCCAAGACCUGGGACAAGCAAGGGCGAUGGAACAUCUCGGAGAGGAAAAUGGCUUCUGGCUCCGGAGGGGUCACCCGAGAAAAAUCCCCAAACAAAGGAGUCCUCAUGCUGAGCACUGGACCUGAGCUCUGGGCAGUUGUCCCCGAGCCACACAGUUCCCAGGGCACCUGGCUGUGAACCGGGGGUAGCAGCUGGCCUGCCUGUGGUGGAGGGAANNNNNNNNNNNNNNNNNNNNNNNNNNNNNNNNNNNNNNNNCCCUCCACCAGGCCCCGCGGGCACGCUCCCCCAAGCCAGCCGCCAGAGACAGACGGGACCUUCGGGUGGACACCGGUCACGAGCGCCUCGCUUGGCAUUCAGGCUGAGAUGCCCUGGGCUCAGCGCGAUCAGCAGAGUUUCCUGUGCGAGGGGAGACCUUAGCACAGGAGGUUUACAGGGCAGCACUGGCACACAGAACAAGCUAUGUGGGGGAAGGAGGGACAAGUCAGCCUUCAGCCCUUCGUCACCGUGACUCCCAAGGCUGAGCGUCACUGUCUGGCACGCGGGUCAAGUGCUCUCCCAGCCAGUGGACAGAGCCACUUCCUGAGCCCAGCGGCCUGCUCUCCACACUGACUCAAGGGGUCUUCUCAGAGGCCGCCCUGCCCUGCAGAUGCUUCUUGCGGACCUGGGGGGGGGCCCCAGCCCUCACCCCCUAUAGGCGAGGCCCUUCCAGAAGUAGGGCCUCCUGCUGAGGCUGGCCAACUGCUUUCCCGUGAAAACCCAGACAAGCAAGAGAGUUGGGAACAGACAAAGACGGCUUAUAUUUUCCAGAAAUCAGAGCUUGGCCCUUUUUUAUUUAUUGUGCUCCGGAACUGACGAGCCAGGCUGCUAAGCUCUACAGCAGAUGCUCCUGAAGGCGACCCACAUGCAUCCCACUGACCUGGAUCCAGGCCCAGGACUUACCCUCGGCGUUCUGUCAGCUCUCGGAAGGCAGGUGCUACCUAAAUAGAGAGAGGAAAAGCAUUACCCUUGUUUCUCUCCACGCAUUCCCCAGAGAACCCAGGUGGGGCCGGCACAGACCAAGAACCCAGAGAGGAACUGCUGCUUUGCUGCCCCUCAUCUGGGGGGCGGGGGACCAGGCCAGCGCCACGCCGAGGGCACCCCAGCUCUGUCGUCCAGCUGCCUGGGCUCCAUGCUUGCUGCUCUGCCCUCCCCCGCCCCCCCAUCCCAGAACCACUCAAAACUUGUUUCAACUGUGACAAGGGUAUGACAAGACCCGCCAUGUGGGACGGUCCCCAAGGAGGUAACCCACUCAAGACACAGGCGUGCGUCUGGAAUGCCUGGUACGGAGGAUGCGCGCAGACAUCAGCCAACGUGCUUAGUGGGGGGCAUUUAAGGAAAACCUUUUUCUGCCACCAGCUACACAAGAACAAGAAGUUCUAGAAACUGUUCUUGCUUUAACUGAGGGGCUUUGUCUUCCUGCCAGCCUCCAGCCAGCCCCAGGCCCAUUUUCUCUGCAGAGCUGUUCCCAAUCCUCCAGGAGCCACCUCCCCUCUGAUUCUCUGCUCCUGGUUCCUGUCUUGCUCUAAUUUGUCCUGACACAAAUUAAGCUGGUGUAUCUAUUUCCUCAGAUCCUCUCCUACAGAGACCCCACCACACGCACACGCACACGCACACACGCACACCCCGUGUCUGGACCCACCGGAGCCCAGUUGGUGGUGUGGGACCACUUAGCAUUUACAGCCUGUUUGUUUUUGAAAGGCCACACCUGUCCGUCAGCUCAAGCCACUGGUCAAUGAAGAGCAAAAUAAGAGAUACAGGCCAGCAAACCACCCAAUGAACUAAGUCUCUGUUCUGAGAAAACCAGUUGCCUUGGUACAUUAUGUCAAGGAUGCAAAUGAAUGUUUGAGGCAUUCAGUUCAGAACAUGUUCCCGAGCGCGCCCUGCAUAAAGCACCUCGCCAGAAGGCACAGGCCCUGCUCCCCAAGUUCCAGAAAGCAAGGUGCUGGGGGCUAGUUAAUAGAGGUUAGGGAGCCAGGCGGGAACCCUGCGGCUGGCAGGCAGCCACAGCCCCUUUCCUAGCUGCGUGGCUCCGAGCGACUCGUUUCACCCACGGUUUCCCAUCUGUAAACAAGGAGCUAGCGGUGCUUUUGUGGCAGGGCUGCUGUGAUCAUCAAAUACUACAUAAAGGGGGCUUAGCAAGGUCCCCGCCACCACAGAGUAAGAGCUCAACAAAGGUUGGCUUUUCUUAUGAAUAACAAUAAAUCAUCACUUAUCAUAAUUAAUAUAAAAGAAUAAACCCACAUCCAACAGAAUAGAUACGGCAAGGCUUAAUGCAGGAAAGCCUGAGAGCAAUUUUUUCUUUUUGGCCUCGCCCUCAGCACGUGCAAGUUCCCGGGCCAGGGAUCGAACCCGCACCACAGCAGCAACAAUGCCAGGUCCUUAAUCUGCUGAGCCACAGAGGAACUCCCCUGAAAAGUAAUCUUGACAGGACAAGAUAAAAGGAAAAGUCCUGCAGAGAACAAGGUCACCAGGAACAGGAGGCAGCAGAGGAAGGACAAGGAGAAGGGAGUUUCCGGGCACCAGAGACUAGCCUCAGGUGAGGCUGAGGCAGAAGAGGGUACCUGUGAGGUCAAAUGGAAGAAAAAGCCCAACAGAUGGGCUCCUAUCUUCUCAUCAGUGAGAGGAAAUGGUUUACUCUCUUCGUCCUUUCCCCGCCUUCCACUGCCAGGCCCCUUGACAGCUUGGCAAAGCAUCCGCAGCGGAGACAGAGGGGAGGGGAGGGGACGGCCAGGCAGACCCAGGUGAGGCUUCAGAGAGAGGGGGGGAAACGGCCCGCUUCCGUGAGGGAUGCCUCCGGGAGAGAGACGGGCCCCCGGACAGGCACCCUUUCUGGAUGUGGGAGGUGGGCCCUGUUCAGAGAGAGCAAGAUGCUCUUGGGAGGCCUCCAAAGGGAAGGCCGGCACUGGUCCUCAGGAGACAUGUUCUCCCGCGGGAGGCUGGGUCCAGCUAGCGUGCUAGGCAGACAUCUGGACAGUCGGUGCCUGCCCAGGCCUCCCUCCCAGAGGCUCUGACACAUGACAGUCACCCCUAUAGCUCCUGAACAUGCUGCCGCUUGGAAUGAGACCUGCGUGCGCAGGCCAGCCCUGCCCCUGUUCUGGCACCUCCGUGAGCAUUGUUAGGACAGGCACGGAACACAGCACCGGGGGUGCUGGAAGCCAGACGAGAGCAAGCAAGGCAGAGGACAAAACAGGGCAAACCGCCUGCACUGGCACGUCACAGGUGGGAGGGGACACCCAAUGGGGUUACAACACCAAGGCAAAGCUCUCCGAGAGGUGAUCCUGGGGGCGAGAACCGAGGCAGCUGGCUUCAGCAGGGAGAUGGGGAAGCAGGAUCAGAGCGGACAGUGGGGUAAACUGCGGAAACUUUGAAUGGUGGCCAAAGUCAAUUCAACAAGUACAUACUGAGCAACCACAGUGAACAAAGCCCUUCCCGCAGGGCAGAGCAGCCACUAAGAAACUUCUCACGAGGACACCUGCUCACAGCCGCUCACUAGAAGGCAAGCAACAAACUGUGGCUCAGGCCCGCUUGCUGGGCCUUCAGAGCCCAACCAGGCACCUUAACACCUUGGGACCCCAUCUCUCGCCCGACUUACCCGCCCCUUAGCAAGUGCCCUCGCCUCGUUACUUCUCCAUGGAGACAUCUGCGCAGUGACCCACCAAACUUCUCACACUCAACUGGGAAGUGCUAUUCCCUCGGCAAUCUCCUUCCACCUUCCUCAGCCGCCUUCUGGUAGGUUCCAGUCACUUAAAACUCACCUGUACUCCAUCAUAAAAACUUGACUGUUUAAAUCCAAUCAAUCACUGCUUCUUCACUGUCAGCUGGCAGAACCAAGAGGCUCACAACUCGAUUCAUCCCUAAAACCUUCUCCAACCCAUGCCAGGUUCUUCUCCCCUCUCCCCGGCUUUAGUGUGUAUUUGGCUCUGAUGUGCCAGCCUCUGUGGAACUUCCUCAUCCAUGUCCCCCUCGGCCACAUGUCACCUCCCGAUACCAGCUCUCUACAGACAUCUGCGGCAUGCUGAACUGCUGCUUACGUUCCCUUUCUUUUCCUCUCCCUCAACCAGUCUGUUGGCAAUUCCAGAACACCUCGUCUCCCAGGUCUUUGUUCAGCACCCAGUUUAGGACCCUGAGCACGACAGGUAUGCAAAGAAUACAGUUAAGACCCCAAGAGUUAAGAGAGUUCCCUGGUUGUCUAGUGGUUAGGAUUUGGUGCUCUUCACCCCUACAGCCCGAGUUCCUUGAUCUUGGAACUGAGAUGCCACAUCAAGCCACUGCAUGCAGUGGCAAAAAAAAAAAAAAAAAAAAA